rnacentral:rRNA from 1 species
AUUGAACGCUGGCGGCAGGCUUAACACAUGCAAGUCGGGCGGGGGAAGGUAGCUUGCUACCGGACCUAGCGGCGGACGGGUGAGUAAUGCUUAGGAAUCUGCCUAUUAGUGGGGGACAACAUCUCGAAAGGGAUGCUAAUACCGCAUACGUCCUACGGGAGAAAGCAGGGGAUCUUCGGACCUUGCGCUAAUAGAUGAGCCUAAGUCGGAUUAGCUAGUUGGUGGGGUAAAGGCCUACCAAGGCGACGAUCUGUAGCGGGUCUGAGAGGAUGAUCCGCCACACUGGGACUGAGACACGGCCCAGACUCCUACGGGAGGCAGCAGUGGGGAAUGUUGGACAAUGGGGGGAACCCUGAUCCAGCCAUGCCGCGUGUGUGAAGAAGGCCUUAUGGUUGUAAAGCACUUUAAGCGAGGAGGAGGCUACUUUAGUUAAUACCUAGAGAUAGUGGACGUUACUCGCAGAAUAAGCACCGGCUAACUCUGUGCCAGCAGCCGCUGUAA